UAAAGUAUAAUUUAUUUAUGCUUUAGCCUUUGGCGAUAGAUAAAAUUUUCAAAAGAGAACGAUAAAUGAAGAAAAAAAUUAGUUGUAGAAAUAUACAUACAUUGGCAUUAAUGAUUAUUUAUAAAUUAAGAGCACCAAAAGGUAUGGUUAUUUUUUUUGUUAAUAAACUUUGUAUCAAAGUAAUUAAUAAAUAUCAAUCGUUCGUAGGUUCAGUGGUGAUUGGUGUUAAAUUUGGUAAGGAGGACUACGGUUUGAUCCAGUUAAAUUUUGUAAGGGAUUAAAUAGAGAUUUUUUUUCUUAGGACUAAUUUGGACUUUUUUUUUGUGAGGUACUAAAAUUGCUCUUCACUAGCAGUCCAAUCACGGUUCAAAAGGACUAAUCUGACCUCUGCAGUUUUUGUGAGGGACUAAAAUGGACCUUCACUCUUAUUUUGACAAAUGGAAUGAUAUAACUUAUGUAUAAUCUAAAAGGAAAAGAUGCAUCUAAGGAAGCAUUUGACGUUAUAUUCGCACCAUACUCUUCCUCUCUCCAUUCUUCACUUUCUCAUUUCAAAACUCUCAAACUCUCUCAACCUCAAAAAUUAAACUUCCACCGAAGUUGUUUUCUUCCUCUCGAGUUCGGCCGAUAACGUCAACAUCAACUACCAACACAUUUCAAUAAGUUUCAAACUCCAUUUAAUCGUGAAUAGACUGUUGGUGACGAGGUAGAGGCGGAUAUACACAGAGAACGGGUGCUGAGAUAUUACUUACUAUAUUUGAUAUGCACUCAGCUCUUUGUGGACACGUGCUCGACGUACACAGACGUCGUUUACCUGACGUACUUAUCGAAUAUCGCAUGUGUCCAUGAGUACAACUGAGGAGCGGCUACACUAGCAUACACCUACCACGGACUCGAAGAGGGAUACCUGUGAAAGGCAAGGACUAUGGCUGGCAGCUGUACCCUCUUAGUGGGUUGGAUACUACAAUACUUCCCUGACAUUAUUGGCUGGGGAGAGGUUUCAGGUUACACUGAGGACAUGCCGCGUGCCAGAGCCUUCACCCCCCUCAGAGGGAACCAGGUGCCGGAUCCUUACAAUUGUUGUCUUGACCGCAUGACUAUUGAGGACAUCUACUACGACUGCUACGCUGAUCACCGUGAGACGGUUCCGUUCUAUGAGAUCGGAUUAUAUUCUGGAUGGUUGGCGGUCAGUUCGACCAUCAUUGUUUGUUAUCUACCAGAGUGUGUCAUGCGUCAGUUCGGGUACCAGCAGACGAUACCUCGCCCCCUUCUGACUCCGCUCCUAUCGCCAUGACCCGUCAACAGCUAGAUGAGGUCUUUGCAGACUGGGAGCACCGCAUGGUUCCUGCCGAGGCUCGGGCGACCACAUCAGAGAGGGACUGGAGCUGCGUCGACGAGUACAUCACCUGGUACUAGCGUGUCACACCCAUACAUGCUUCCCACCGCACCUGGAUCACCGCCCAUACCAGUCUAGGUGGAGAUUUUGCGGACUCGUCAGACUCAGAUGGACCAUACUCAAUAUGUUCUUCCUUAGUGUCGUGAGAUAGCUGACAUGGCGCAGCAGGCAUUGCCAAUGGUUUAUUCCCUAAGGGGUCUACUGGCUUGCGUCUAGUGGAGGGUAUCACUAGGGUGGAAGAGGAGACAUUUUUGUACCGUAGAAACCAUGCUAGGACAGGUGGGUCACUCGAGGGUAGAGGCAGAGUAGCCAGUAGACGGCGCGGUGGAUGCAGAUGCGGAGGUGGGGCCAGAGGCAACGGAGAGGCGCAUGAUGAUGUCCGACACACACAGUAGUGAUGUCUGGGAUUUAUGUGAUGUAUGUAUUUUGAUUUGAUUUGUGUACGAGGUUUUUAUAUGUAUUCAUUGG